GGUUUCUCUGUGUAGCUUUGGAACCUAUCCUGGCACUCGCUCUGGAGACCAGGCUGGCCUUGAACUAAAAGAGAUCAGCCUGCCUCUGCCUACCGAGUGCUGGGAUUAAAGGCGUGUGCCAUCAAUGCCCG
rnacentral:miRNA from 1 species